rnacentral:lncRNA from 1 species
UGGAGAACGCAUACAUACACACACAUAUAGUCGAUUAGGAAAAGUAAAUAAUGAAUUCAAUCAGAUAUUUAUGGAAAGAUAUAUUCACCCGAUAUUUACAAUAAAUCAAUAGUCCAUAGAAGCAAAGUAUAUAUGUUUCUCUUAUCUACAAGAUAUUAAAAGUGUGAAAACUCUUAGAAAAGUGAUUUGAACUUUUUGC